CAUAAUUCUUCUUAGGUGUUUACAAUAUCAAUACUGAAGAAAGAAGUAAACCUAGCUCACUAUGUUAGAAGAUAUGCAGUAGAUAAACCAUUGUGUCUCUUCCUGCAUGGAUAACUGAAUUAAUUCUCCUUUCUCAGAUACAAUAAUCUUCACCCUUCUUCACCAAAGUUGUUUCCAUCUACUAAAUGAGUCUACUAUUCCAGUAUUUAUGAAGGAUCCAUAAAAGGUCCAGGAUAACCAAUGUAUUUCCCGAUGGUGAUAUCAAAAGGUUAAGCAAAUAGAAAGAUAUCAAAACGCUUAAAAUAUGGGCAACAGUAACAUAAAAGUAUACCUUUUAUUUAUUAUAUUUAAAUCCAUAACAC